UGGUGGUUUCGUGGGUGCGGUACGGUGGUGGUUUCGUGGUUGCGGUGGUGGUUUCAUGGGUGCGGUGGUGGGUGUGGUGGCUGCGACUAUGGUGGUUCGAUGCGACUAUUGUGGUUCGUUGCUUACUCCAGCACAAGGUCUUGCUGGGAAGACCAUAUGCAAAGAGUAGGUCCAAAGAGGACUUGGGUUGCCCAUUAAAUCUGUUGGAUCUGGUACUCAUGUGAAAGGAAAGGUACCAUUGGUUGUCUGCAUCACACAUUUGGUUGCUCACAAAGGUCUUCAUUUGAUCUGCCAUGCUAUUAAACAUGUUGAAGAACUAGGUGGACAGAUGGUUGUGCUUGGAAGAGCUUCAAAUGGUCUAGUGGAAAAAGGAAUUUGAAAGCCUUGCGACUUUGGUAAUGACCACAAUCACUUGAAAGUUGUACUCUGAAAUUUCUACAAAUUGAAUAUUAAUUUGAAAUAUUCGGAUAGUGAAACAAGUUUACUCUGUAAUUAAUUCAUUCGGACCAUGAUAUCUUAUUUUUAACAUCCUUUAUGUGGUCUUGCUUAUGAAACUUAUAUGUUUGAAGCUGUUAGGAUUAAUUAAUUUUUGUUGAUGAUUAUUGAGAAUCAGGAAUGAGAGAAAGUGGCUGGUCUUUUACCUUCUAGGCACUUAAACUGGGCUACGUUAUUGCAAACUUCUCCUUCGUUUUCGUUACAUAGCUGCAUAAUUCAUACAUUUUUCAUUAAGUGGUUGUUUUCUUUACGUUAUGUAUGUACUUUUGUACUUAUUUAUAGGAAAAUGCCUUUUGUAAAUUGCACUUCAGUUUAAAUUUGUUGUUCUCUUCUUGUAUUUCCAAGACCCAUACUUUGAACAGAAUGUGCUAGUUCUAACUUCUAAAGCACUUUUUGAGUAGGUGUAACACUUUUCUUUAAGGAAAAAAAGGAAUGAUAUGUGCUGAAACAACAACAUUACUGAA